UCUAACGAUAGAUUCAUAUAUCAAAAUGAACUGAUUGUAUAGGACUUGAAUUUGAUUAACAAAAUAAAUGCACAUACAGUUAAUGCUACAAAGGAAAUUCUGUGAGAUGCUGAUGGUCCAGUGGACAGAGCUCUUGGUGUCAAAGCUAAACUUGAUGCAGGAGACCUGACGAAUGUAGUCAAUGUAAAAUCUGACUCGUUUUGUCGAAACGAGAUAGGCAGUUUUCCAUCCGCUCCACUAGGCGGCGAAAGCGAGUUUCAGGUUCAGUGUGAUCUCUGAUGUGUUCGUGUGCUUGGCUUGCAACAACCAACAGCACGCGCAAGGUGCAACAGCACAUAUUCCAGCCCAUAAACUAAUAAAACCGACACAAACUUCGAUGAAGUGAAGGAACCGAGUGUCACUCACUUGACUCAUCAGACACCCUGGUCCUUGCCAAAAACGACGUGUUUAUGGCUGCUUAUAUCCUUACCCUGGAGUUGGUUCACCCUCCGCCUAUGGAUUAAGGAACCCAAGUGUUUGGUGAUGUGUGGAGAGUCUCUGUCACUGACCAGGUUUAAGCAGAUCGUGGGUGCCGAUGAGUACUUUGGGAACCAGGCGUCUAACUGAAUAGAAAAAGUGUCUGCAUUAGCUUUGCCAACACGCUUGGACCAGAGCAGGCUUCGGGGAUGCUUUGACAUGCAGAAUGAGUGAUGUGUGAGGAGUGUUACACCCAGUCAACAGAAGCAUGUGGACAGACAACGACUAGACUGAUGAAGACCUGCUCAUGCACAGGUAAUGCUUAUAUCAUUUCAGUGUGUGUUGUUGGCUCGCAAAUGUGUAGGUUAUUAUCCUUUUUUUUUUUUUUGGAAGGGUCACUAUAUUUCAAAAGUUAGUGAUCGACAUACGAUUUAAAUUAUCUUUAAUAAAUUGCAUAUAAUAUAAAUAAAUAUCCCCCCCCCCCCACACACACACACAUAUAUAGCAAAGUUUUGCAUUGUUACUGAAUGCAACUUCUAUUUUGACAUUGCCUGAAUGUGUUAUUUAAAUGACAUUUGUCUUAACAUGUAACUUAUAUUAAACCUAGAGACAUAUUAACUCCUUUGGUAUGCCAUAUGAAGGACACAAUGCAUUGCUUUUUGUAUGCUUGUUUUGGUCAUUUUUGGACCAACACACCGUCUUGCAUUUAUACUCCUUAAUCUAACGAUUUCUCAACAUGAAGGAAAACAUGGCCCUCAGUUUACGCUAAAUAUCAAUUUUUAUUCUUAAAAACCAUACACGAUACUCGACAAGUUUAAAAUGUAAGUUAAAUCACGAUAUCCAUUUACAAUGCGCAAGAUAAACAGACAUGUUCUUUUAUUUCCAAACUUUAAAAUAAUAAUAAAAAAAAAAUUCUUAAAACAGAUGGAUAAACAUUCAUUCCCGUUAUAGGAAGACGCUAUAGAAAAAAAAAAAGUUAUGGAUUCUUUUAAUAUAUCUGCUCUAAAUUGCAAACUUAAGCAGUUUUUCUGUAUUUAAUAAACUUGAAAAAAACGAAAUAACUUAUUCAAAAGAACAGAACCAAAAAAUGUGCAGUUGUGAUGACUGAAGAAAUGCAAAUCCCUUUCUCCGUUUUUCUUCCUUCUCCUUUAUAUCACCUUUAAUUAACCAACAAUUGGAGAUAAGCAACAGUCUGAACUGGAACCCUGCUGCUAAAAAAAUUAAAUCUACUCCUAAGUAUAUAUACAUAAAAAUAAAAAAAAACACCAAAACAUGUUUGUAUUUUGACCAUAAGUUUCAUGCUGUGAGCCACCCUGAGUAUUAUAUUACUUAGAGAACCAAUCACGACCCACCCUCCCCUUGAAUAUAAUUUAUGUAAAAUCCCUGUAGGUCUGGUUCAGCAGGUUGAGAUGUUGUCAUUUCCUCAUAAAAAUAUAAUUUAUAUGGUCUGUAUCAAAACGUUCCUUGGGAAUCUGAAAUGAAGUACCCUGUGCUGUGAUACCAGUGUUAUAUGCACGUUUUCUUAAAUUAAUCAUGUUGGUUGCUUUGUGUUUCCAGUAUUUCAGGUCUUAAAUAUUCUACAAACAAUUGCAGCAAUAUUUUCUUAGCUGACAGCAAUCUUUAUGGAAUAUGAAGGACAAUAUAAAGUACAAACUUCAUUUUUUUCCCCCAAAUGAUCAAACAAAACACAGGAAAUAUUUGUUUCAAAUAAUCAAAAGCCUGAGUGAACAAACUUAUGAUACAUUGGCAGGAACUUAAUAUCUUGAUGUUAAUGAACUGUCUGUGGACCAUUUCAGUUAACCAAAGCAAAGUUUUUUUUUUUAAAUGCGGACCUGGUGUGACCUCCACUUCAAAAAAAAAAA